CCUGUACUUGGUGUUACUGCGAAGGGGGGACGGAGAAGGCUAUGUUGGCCGGGCGACGGUUGUCCCGGUUUAAGCGUGUAGGCUGGUUUUCCAGGCAAAUCCGGAAAAUCAAGGCUGAGGCGUGAUGACGAGGCACUACGGUGCUGAAGCAACAAAUGCCCUGCUUCCAGGAAAAGCCUCUAAGCAUCAGGUAACAUCAAAUCGUACCCCAAACCGACACAGGUGGUCAGGUAGAGAAUACCAAGGCGCUUGAGAGAACUCGGGUGAAGGAACUAGGCAAAAUGGUGCCGUAACUUCGGGAGAAGGCACGCUGAUAUGUAGGUGAAGUCCCUCGCGGAUGGAGCUGAAAUCAGUCGAAGAUACCAGCUGGCUGCAACUGUUUAUUAAAAACACAGCACUGUGCAAACACGAAAGUGGACGUAUACGGUGUGACGCCUGCCCGGUGCCGGAAGGUUAAUUGAUGGGGUUAGCGCAAGCGAAGCUCUUGAUCGAAGCCCCGGUAAACGGCGGCCGUAACUAUAACGGUCCUAAGGUAGCGAAAUUCCUUGUCGGGUAAGUUCCGACCUGCACGAAUGGCGUAAUGAUGGCCAGGCUGUCUCCACCCGAGACUCAGUGAAAUUGAACUCGCUGUGAAGAUGCAGUGUACCCGCGGCAAGACGGAAAGACCCCGUGAACCUUUACUAUAGCUUGACACUGAACAUUGAGCCUUGAUGUGUAGGAUAGGUGGGAGGCUUUGAAGUGUGGACGCCAGUCUGCAUGGAGCCGACCUUGAAAUACCACCCUUUAAUGUUUGAUGUUCUAACGUUGACCCGUAAUCCGGGUUGCGGACAGUGUCUGGUGGGUAGUUUGACUGGGGCGGUCUCCUCCUAAAGAGUAACGGAGGAGCACGAAGGUUGGCUAAUCCUGGUCGGACAUCAGGAGGUUAGUGCAAUGGCAUAAGCCAGCUUGACUGCGAGCGUGACGGCGCGAGCAGGUGCGAAAGCAGGUCAUAGUGAUCCGGUGGUUCUGAAUGGAAGGGCCAUCGCUCAACGGAUAAAAGGUACUCCGGGGAUAACAGGCUGAUACCGCCCAAGAGUUCAUAUCGACGGCGGUGUUUGGCACCUCGAUGUCGGCUCAUCACAUCCUGGGGCUGAAGUAGGUCCCAAGGGUAUGGCUGUUCGCCAUUUAAAGUGGUACGCGAGCUGGGUUUAGAACGUCGUGAGACAGUUCGGUCCCUAUCUGCCGUGGGCGCUGGAGAACUGAGGGGGGCUGCUCCUAGUACGAGAGGACCGGAGUGGACGCAUCACUGGUGUUCGGGUUGUCAUGCCAAUGGCACUGCCCGGUAGCUAAAUGCGGAAGAGAUAAGUGCUGAAAGCAUCUAAGCACG
rnacentral:rRNA from 1 species